rnacentral:lncRNA from 1 species
UCCCACCCCUUGAAAAUAUUUAUCGUGGGGUCUGGGCCCGGCCCGUCGAUCCCCGUCCUCCACAAUCCGGCUCCUCGGCAGAGGUGGGCAACCUGUGGAAGGGUUUGUUUCGCCUCGUCACAUAAUAUUUUUCCAGAAUGGGCGGGGCGUAAAAAAAAAUCCAAAAGCUCGUGUACUGAACGAUGAUAUCCAAAUACGCAUGUUCAACUUCCCAAAGUUUUCACUGCGCAUGUCCCGUUGCACUAAAUAUCUAACAUAUUUGAUGUUCAGGUUAUCGUUUGCUCCGCUUCUUUUUCGUCGUCGCUGCAACGAGUAUGCAAUGACAAAUUGUAUGUACGAUUUUAGUACGACGUCGAAUGCGACCGGAUUGCUGCAAUAUCGACUAGUUUGCGGCCGGUCUUAGGCCCUCUGCACACGGAGCGUAUCGUCAUGGA